GACGAACGCUGGCGGCGUGCUUAACACAUGCAAGUGGUGCGACGAACCAGGCUCCGGCCUGGGGCGAAGCCGCGAACGGGUGAGUCACACGUGGGCAACCUGCCCCUUUGAUCGGGACAACCCGGGGAAACCCGGGCUAAUACCGAAUGAGGUGGCGACUCAUGAGGGGCCUCAGUAAAGGAAGCUUCGGCCUCCGGGAAGGGCUGAGCCCGCGGCCCAUUAGCUUGUUGGUGGGGUAAUGGCCUACCAAGGCAACGAUGGGUAGCUGGUCUGAGAGGACGAUCAGCCACACUGGGACUGAGACACGGCCCAGACUCCUACGGGAGGCUGCAGUGGGGAAUCUUGCGCAAUGAGCGACAGCUUGACGCAGCAACGCCGCGUGAGGGAAGAAGGCUUUCGGGUCGUAAACCUCUUUCAGUUAGGACGAAGCUUUAUUGGUUAAUAACCAAUUGGAGUGACGGUACUUUCAGAAGAAGCCCCGGCUAACUACGUGCCAGCAGCCGCGGUAA
rnacentral:rRNA from 1 species